rnacentral:rRNA from 1 species
UCGGGAAUUUUGGGCAAUGGGGGAAACCCUGACCCAGCAACGCCGCGUGAAGGAUGAAGUAUUUCGGUAUGUAAACUUCGAAAGAAUAGGAAGAAUAAAUGACGGUACUAUUUAUAAGGUCCGGCUAACUACGUGCCAGCAGCCGCGGUAAUACGUAGGGACCAAGCGUUGUUCGGAUUUACUGGGCGUAAAGGGUGCGUAGGCGGAAGGAUAAGUUAGUUGUGAAAGGCCUGGGCUUAACCUAGGAACUGCAAUUAAGACUGUCCAUCUAGAGUUGAGUAGAGGGGAGCGGAAUUUCCGGUGUAGCGGUGAAAUGCGUAGAUAUCGGAAGGAACAUCAGUUGCGAAGGCGGCUCUCUGGACUCAAACUGACGCUGAGGCACGAAAGCGUGGGUAGCGAACAGGAUUAGAUACCCGGGUAGUCCCUGAGCGGGCUGGCAAGGCGCAU